CCGAGUGCGUGGCAGGGGACGCUGAGCGGUGCCUACGAGGCGCUGCGGCCCGGCGGGCACCUGGUGUUCGAGACGCGGGACCCGGCCC
rnacentral:tRNA from 1 species